CACUAUACUAUAUCUCAAUUUCCCAUCAAUCAUUGAAUUACUCCUAUUUAUUUAUUUGUUCCAAAAAAAAAAAAAAAAAAAAAGGAAUUACUUUAUUUAUUUAUUUAUCUAAUAAUCAGGAGGAUUGUGUCCACACAACACUGACGUCAAAGUCAAAUUCCUUCCGCCAAUUAAAAAUGGACGACGCCGGAGUACCCUGGUCGGAACUCCCCCCGGAGAUCUGGCCAGCUGUCGGAAAACACCUCCACACCUACAUCGACGUCCUCCGAUUUCGCAGCGUUUGCCGCUCAUGGCGCUCCUCUCUUCCUCCUUUCACCCAAACAUCUCCUCCUCUUCCUCUCCGAUUUCCUUCUCCAUACAUCUCUGCCAAUCUAUCCGUCGAUGCCUUCCUCUCCCAAACCAUCAUCUAUCGUCUCGCUCCUCUCAACCACGAACCAAGCCCCAACGUUUCCUCUUCGUCUUCUCCCCCUCCCCGGAACGGCCGUCUAGUGAAGGUGGAGAAAUCGGAACUAGGUAAGAUGCGGUUUCUUCAUCCUCUGUCCAAGCAAAUAAUCCGAUGCAACUUGGAAGAUCUUUCGCAAGGACACAACGAAUUGAACUUACUGGAUCUUCGAAUGGACGAAUUGGCCGUAUCUUAUUCGCUCAAGUACAGCGAUACCACUUGUGUUCCUGGAAUCUCUAAAAUCGUUGUAUUCCCAAAUUCCUCUGGAUCAGACGUUAAAGAUUGUACCAUAAUCGCAGUGUUUGAGUGCGGGAAGUUAGGGUUUGCCAGAUCUGGUGAUGAGAAAUGGACUCUAAUCGAUGAACAAAAUUUCCACUACGACGAUGUAAUUGUCUACAAUCAACAGUACUACACAGUCGAUAGAUGGGGAACGGUUUUCUGGAUCGAUUCAUCAAUGCGAUUAGUACAAUUUUCUCCUCCUCUGAUCGGUCUCGGCCACCACAAACACCUAGUGGAAUGCGGCGGCGAACUUCUCGUAAUCGAUCGGUUCCUCGACAAAGAGCGUCAUUUUCAACCCGCAAUCGCCGCCGUGGACGACGCAGAACAACAACAACAUCAUUUCAUGAUUCCAGUUCAACGGCCACCUUACAGUUCAUUACCAAAAGCAGUUGAUUUCAAAGCUUAUAAGCUGGAUCAAGAAUGGGGGACAUGGGUGGAGCUGAAGAAUUUGGGAAAUCGAUCGAUUAUUUUGGGGAACGAUUGUUGUUUUUCGAUCGAAGCAUCGGAGUUUGAAGGAUGCAAAAAGAAUUGUGUUUAUUACACGGAUGUGACAGAGGACGCAUUUUCUAAAAGAAGUAGGAGUCGUGUGUUUGAUGUUGAAGGAAAAAGGAUUGGAAAUAUAUUGGGAUAUCCUGGACGGAUGAUCGGGAUCUUCAACACGCCGCCGAUAUGGCUCUCGAAAUCUAUUCCUCCAUUGAAGGAUAUCUUGUUUGGUUCUACACAUCGCCAUGAAAAUUAGCAGUAAGAAAUUGGGACCGACGCUCUUAUUUCUGAUGUUUUUAUUUAUCACGAUACACAUCUGUGUUCUGUUGACGUCGUGAAGAAUGACCACAAACAAGCAACAUCCUGGAUUGUAUCUAAAUGUACGAAAUUAAUAUUUAAAACGAAUGAUAAGGCUCCAUGUCGUCCUUCGGAUGUUAUAAAUUAUAUGAAGAUUCACCACGGUGUGAACAUAAGUUAUGAUAAAGCUUGGAGAGGACGUGAAAUUGCUUUGAAUUCCAUUAGGGGUACUCCGGAGGACUCAUAUGCCAUGUUGUCUGCCUUUUCGGAUGCACUGAUCCGAAACAACCUAGGUACAUAUACGGCUGAAGAAGCAGAUGAUGAAGGUUGGUUUAAAUUCUAUUUCAUGGCACUAGCUGCUUCAAUUGAUGCAUGGAACUAUUGCGUACCAGUUAUUUCUGUUGAUGGUGCAGCUAUGAAGAACAAUUAUCUUGGUACCCUCAUAUCUGCUUGUAUUAUUGAUGGGAACUCUCAAAUUGUGCCACUAGCUUUUGCUGUCGUUGAUUCAGAGAAUGAUUUGUCAUGGUCAUGGUUUUUUCGAAACCUUAAAACCGUUUUUGGGGAACAUAAUGAGAUGGUAAUUGUUUCUGAUGUUCACAAAAGUAUAGAAAAUGGGUUUAAUGUCGUUUAUGAAAUAGCUGAACAUGGAUUAUGUGCAUUCCAUUUGUUGAAGAACUUGAAAAAGAACCAUAAAUCACUUCCCAUGGAGGACUCAUUCAAUAAAUGUGCCAGAGCGUAUACACCACUGGAAUUUGAGUACUACAUGAGGCAACUCGAACAACUAUCUCCAUCAAUGAGGCAUGAGUUGGAAGCAGUGGGAAGACAUAAGUGGGCCAGGGCAUUUUUUAGGAGAAAAAGAUACCAGGUUAUUACAACCAACAUCUCUGAAAGUAUGAACGCUACCUUGAAAGAACAACGAGAAUUGCCUGUAAUUGGACUUCUAGAAUCUAUCCAUAGUUUGAUUCAAAAAUGGUUCUAUGAACGUCGUACCAAAUGGAGUUUCCAACGCACACAACUUUCAAUAUAUGCAGAAGAUAUGAUUCGAGAAUUCUUGGCGCAUAGCCGCUCAAUGAAUGGACCAACCCCGAAUGAGGCGGGGAAUCCCCGAAUACAUGGAGAAUGGAAGAGGGAGGGGACCCACCUUGAACAUAAAAAAAAAAAAAGCGAAGAAUGUUUCCGGGAACCCAAUUGCCGUGGAAUCCUCACGAAGAAAUUUGUGGGAUGGUAAUGGGAUAGGAAGCGGGGAUGGGGAUGAGAAGUGACAUCCACGUCCCCGCCCUGCCCACGACCCAACCCGCCCUGUAUACAUCUCUAGGUUGAUUGCAAUAACAUGCUUGAAGUUGAAUGUGAUUAAUUAUCUCC